AGAGUUUGGAUCCUGGCUCAGGACGAACGUUGGCGGUGCGCUUAAUGCAUGCAAGUCGAGGGAGAACCAUUCGAUCCGUAAGGACUGGAUGGGGAAACCGGCGAACGGGUGCGUAACACGUGAGGAACCUGCCCCGAAGACCGGGAUAGCCCGAGGAAACUCGGAUUAAUACCGGAUACCCUCUUUGGACCACAUGGUCCGCUGAGGAAAUGGUCCGCCGCUUCGGGAUGGCCUCGUGGCCUAUCAGCUUGUUGGUGAGGUAACGGCUCACCAAGGCAAAGACGGGUAGCUGGUCUGAGAGGACGAUCAGCCACACUGGGACUGAGACACGGCCCAGACUCCUACGGGAGGCAGCAGCAGGGAAUAUUGCACAAUGGGCGAAAGCCUGAUGCAGCGACACCGCGUGCGGGAUGAAGGCCCUCGGGUUGUAAACCGCUUUCAGGAGGGACGAAAAUGACGGUACCUCCAGAAGAAGGCCCGGCCAACUACGUGCCAGCAGCCGCGGUAAUACGUAGGGGCCAAACGUUGUCCGGAUUUAUUGGGCGUAAAGGGCUCGUAGGCGGUUCAACAAGUCGAUCGUGAAAGCCCGGGGCUCAACCCCGGGACGCCGGUCGAAACUGUUGUGACUAGGGUCCGGUAGAGGUGAGUGGAAUUCUCGGUGUAGCGGUGGAAUGCGCAGAUAUCGAGAGGAACACCAGU
rnacentral:rRNA from 1 species